CAGACGAUGCGUCAUGCAUAUCAAUAAGCGGAGGAAAAGAAACUAACAAGGAUUCCCCUAGUAACGGCGAGUGAAGCGGGAAGAGCUCAAAUUUGAAAUCUUAAAGGGUUUCCCUUUACGAAUUGUAGUUUAAAGAAGUGUUUUCUGUUGAGGUUUUGGUAAAAGUUCUUUGGAAUAGGACAUCAUAGAGGGUGAGAAUCCCGUAUUUGACCUUUACUUUCAACUUUGUGAUACACUUUCAAAGAGUCGGAUUGUUUGGGAAUGCAGUCCAAAAUGGGUGGUAAAUUUCAUCUAAAGCUAAAUAUUGGCGAGAGACCGAUAGCGAGCAAGUACCGUGAGGGAAAGAUGAAAAGAACUUUGAAAAGAGAGUUAAACAGUACGUGAAAUUGUCAAAAGGGAAGCGUUUGACACCAGUGUUGUUUUUCUGAAAAUCAAUUAAAGAACUGUUUAUGCUAAGCUGUUUAGACUUUAUCAGCUAUCUGUUUAGUUUUGAGCUUUUCUUUAAUGCACUUUUCAGUUAACAAGUCAACAUCAAUUUCCUUUGCUGUAAAAAAGCUUGAGGAAGGUGGCUUGAGAUUCGUCUUAAGUGUUUAUAGCCUCUUGCCUAUGCAGUCGGAGAGAUUGAGGUCUGCAGCGUAGAUCCUUCGGGGCUAAAUGCAUUUGUGCUAAGUUAUAGCAUUUUAUAGACAACUUGUUGACUAUGAUUUGUCUUGUAGCUUACUCGCUUAUGUUAUUUUACCUACGCUUAGGAUGUUGAAUCUGUGCGAGACUAC
rnacentral:rRNA from 1 species